rnacentral:rRNA from 1 species
UACAGAGGGUGCAAGCGUUAAUCGGAGUUACUGGGCGUAAAGGGCGCGUAGGUGGUUGUGUAAGUUGUUUGUGAAAUCCCCGGGCUUAACCUGGGAACUGCAAGCAAUACUGCAUAACUGGAGUACUGUAGAGGGUAGUGGAAUUUCCGGUGUAGCGGUGAAAUGCGUAGAGAUCGGAAGGAACACCAGUGGCGAAGGCGGCUACCUGGACAGAUACUGACACUGAGGCGCGAGAGCGUGGGGAGCAAACAGG